ensembl:lncRNA
GAUUUUACUGUGAUCUAAUCUGCUGCUGACAGCAGAGUUGAUCUGUUUAUUAAAUGUUAAACAUGGCCCACCCCAAGUGUUGAUUGUGCUGUUAGAGAAUAGAUUAAUUGGAAGUUAAAGGGACAGUUCAACCCGAAAUCCAAGGUCCAUUUUUUCUCCUUUUAUACCUGUAUUGCCAUUCAUCCGUCUACCUUCUUCUCGUGUGGGUUGCCUAGUUUUGGAGAUACCAGCCGUCCAGAUGUCUGCCUUCUGUCCAAUAUAAUGAAGCUAUGCAACGCUUGACGCUUUUUGUUGCCACUAAGCAAAAUGUAAGUCUCUUUCCAGCCGUUUACAGCCUUCCCUUUGUUAUGUGCUUUAGUUGAGCUUGAAGAUGCAGUCAUUUGUUGUUCAAUGGUUAAUUUCAUGAUGAUCCAAUGACUAAAAAAGGGAAACCUUUUUUGUUUUAAUUUUUUUAUGUCCACAUCUAAAUAAUGUUUUACUACUGGUAAAGCAUUUUUUAACUAACUAGCUAAAUAUGUGUAUUGAACCUUUUUAUCAUGGGGCAAGUUGAAUCCUUUUCCUUGCAAAUUAAGAAGUAUUGAUUACUGUUGAAAGCAGACAAUAAGAUUGCCUUUAGGAAUGAAGAGUUCUUAUCAGGUGAACGGGAACUGCUGUUAAGGUGUGUGGAAAUGAAAUAAAGAAAAAACCAUAAACUGGGCUUUUCCAUUAUACCCAUUUAGCUCUGUCAGAAGGGCCACGCGACCGACCACCGAAGUGUAAUUUAAUUGUUUUGUGCAAGAAGUCAUGUGUUCGCUUUGAAUGUGGAUCCCAGGAGUAGAACUCCAAUGGGUUUUCCACUAAUACACAUUCUACAUAACAGUAACAUCUACACAGCCUCUCAAAGGUCUAAGCCAUAUGUUUGCACUAUAUGGAAUUGACAAUUUGACCAUACUCAUGUCACUUAAUCCUUCAAUAAAGCAGAAAGUGGAAAUGAGAGUUCCAGUGCAGUAAUGUGUCGAAUUGUAAACUCCGUUCGAUCUUGUCAUGUAGGAGAGGAUAUAAUUAAGUCUCUUAGUAUGGAGGCAUUCUGAAAAAUACAUUUUAACCACCACAAUUACAGCCAAAUCAAUCUCCGUGGCCUGGGAAUGUUGAUGGAACAUUUUGAUUUGAAAGUAAUUGUUCAAACUUUCCUGGUACUGGAAUCAUACCAACAUCUGCAUUUUUACUUUUUCUUGUGGUGAUAAUGAAGGGACGCCCCCUCAUUUAAGUAAUUAUAAAGAACACAUUCAGCCUUCUGUCGUCUGCAGCAGUAUGGGCCAUGAAGAAUUAUUCCGUGACUUUGACUCUACAACAAGCAAACACUAAAUCCACAUGAGAAAUGUUCUUGCACCAUUUACUAAAAGUCAGGAAAACAUUUAUUUUUAGUCCAAGCUGUUUAUCAACCUCAAUCCCCUCGGCUGGGUUCUGCACUGCACACAUUUAGACAAAGUUUACACAAAAGACAGAAGCAGUAAUUUAAACGGUGCCUGAGGAAUGCUGUUAUUUUUCACUCACCGGCAUCAGUAAUAAAGCAAAGAUGUUUUACUGACACAAAUGUCCCCUUGUGUGGGAAGUUCUGAUUGUGUUUUGUUUUUUCUGAAAAAGUAUUUGAGGCUGAAAAAAGUAUAAAACAUAAACAUAAAAAAAGUUAAUAUGUUGUCUUCGAUCAGAGUUGGCCUUUUAUAAGUCACAUUUACUUGUAAACAACCAGUUCAUCACAACAAGCCGUUCGGAGCACAGCGGUUGAGACAAGCUGAAGCGGUCACGGCGGAUGGAUCCUGUAACAUGUUCGUCUGAGUUACAGAACAAAUCCAAAGAGUGUAUCAUUUGCUUCCGUUAAGGAAAGAUGAACACAAUGCAACUGGCCCCCGUUCUGACAUCUUUGGCGGUUUCUGUACUGACAGACAGCUCCCAGUGGCCCGACUUCAUUACAGUCUUAGGCAGAGAAGUCAUUGAAACCCUUUGUCCUCCCAUACAGUUUGGAUAUAACAUCCUUUGAUGAUUCUGCUGGGGGAGUUUUUAACUAAUUACAAUGAUGGUUUUACUACUUCUGAGCGGGGUAACAAUGCACAUUGUGUGUAAAUAUUGCUAAAUAUUCACACCUCAUUGAAUCCUCAUUGGGAACGAGGAGGAUGAGCUUUUCUUUCUUUCUGAAUGGAUGGGACUGGUCCAAUCCUGCAUGCAGAUGAGAGUUACUGUUUGUUCCAUUAAACAGGAGCCAAACAUCUCCAGCUAAUUGAUAGACUAUUCCAAUGUGUAUUUUGACUUUGCCAAGACAGCGGCCCCAAAUCAUCUACAUAUUGCCGAAAAGCAGAGAGUGUAGAGGAUUUUUGUAAUUGCGGACCAAGACUUAUUGGAAGGAGUUGCACCAGAAAGGUGUGAGGCGGAGCGAGUGUUGAUUUAGCGCGGGUGUAGAGUUCAGUGAGUGAAGGAACAGCGGGAGUGCUGAGGGGGCAUUCCUGACAAGCAGCGUUUAAUUUGACUGAAAAGCCAGAGGGGACAUAAACCAAGAGGCGCUUUCUCUAUAGGAACCGCAUGGCAUUAAUGGCUCGGUGGACCGGGGGAACCUAUCGCUGGCGUUUUUUCUCUGCUGUGUGGCCCGGAGCCACUGAGUCACUGCCCCGGCCUUCCUUCCUGUCUCAGCUCAGGGCCGAGCCUCCAGUGCAGGAUGGGAGAUAACCUGCUAAUCGCUGCGCCCAGCGGCUGCAGGACGAUAAGGCCGACUCUCUUCUGCGUUCCAGCACGUGGCUGCCAAUGAACUUUAAAUGUCCCAUGUGAACCAUGUGUCUAUCAGCUGUGUGCAUAUCAGCUGUGCUUCUUGUAAACUCCACCUUUUCCACAGAGUUCACAGUAUAUAUUUGUGUUUUUCAAUGCAAUAAAGUUGAUUAAAGUUUAGAAACUCGUACAUACAGUGUGCAUGUUUGAGUGCUGUUUCCGAAUCUUUUCAGUUUUAUAAAGGUUGUAUAACUUGUCUAUGGAAAACUUGCUCAGGAAGUUGUGAACGUGUAAAACCCUUUUUGGGGUGUCUUGGCUAUUUAUAGUUUAGUGAAUUCAGAUUUUGUUUCCAUCAUUGUGCUUCUGGUCUUCAUCAAUUCCAAUUAAUCCAUCCAAAGUUUUCAGAAUGUGCUGCUAUCUUUAAUUUGUAAAAAAAACUCUCCCGGAAAUAGAUGUAGAUUAAAAUAAAUAAACAAAAUUGUGCACAAUGAAUGCAAUCAAGGACAUUUUCUAAUACACUAAUUAGACUGGGUUCUCCCAUUGUUGUCUCGAUCGGACGCACGCGCUCCAGUUAAAUAAGCACAUUUCCUCUUCCUGAACUAAGUUUCCCAGAGAACUCCCUGUGUACAUUAAAGAUCUUGAAGGAGAGAAUGAAACGGCUUCGUCGACAUUUCGUCGGCUUAUGGGAAAACAAACAGUUGUAUGUUUGUUUUGUCCAGACGUUCUUCUCAAUGGGGAUGAGAUGUUUUAAUGGAGAUCAUUUUGACAAGGCAAGAAAACGUGUACUAAUUGCAAAGCUCUUUUAUUAUAAACUUAAUUAAUUGUCCUGAAUUAAAUGAAACAAGUUUAUAAUAAAAUAAUAAUACAAUGACCUGCUGAAUCACACUUUAUUACAUCUGUAGUUAUUCCAUCCUCGUUCCAUUUCUAUUGGACACAUGUCACCAAUAUAUACAAUUGUCUACAAACGGUCAUGAUCACGCAAUGAGGCUCUGACUCAUUUCACACAGGCCAGUGAGCAGAUACUGUUAAAGAUGCU